GGCGUGGUGGCAGAGUGGUUAUUGCGUAAGACUUGAAAUCUUAUUCCCUUGGGAGCGCAGGUUCAAUUCCUGCCCACGUCG